UACGGGGGGGGCAAGCGUUGUUCGGAAUUACUGGGCGUAAAGGGCUCGUAGGCGGUCUGUUACGUCGGGAGUGAAAACUCGGGGCUCAACCCCGAGCCUGCUUCCGAUACGGGCAGACUAGAGGUAUGCAGGGGAGAAUGGAAUUCCUGGUGUAGCGGUGAAAUGCGCAGAUAUCAGGAGGAACACCGGUGGCGAAGGCGGUUCUCUGGGCAUUACCUGACGCUGAGGAGCGAAAGUGUGGGGAGCGAACAGG
rnacentral:rRNA from 1 species